GGCAUAUGCACUUCUUGUUCGAGGAGAGAAGCAGCGAGAGAAGGUUGCUAUUCGCCUUCCUCAACUUGACUCAUCGGUUCUGACGGUUAGAUUGACUGAUGAAAGCUCAUGUCAGGACAAUCAAUCACGUGAUAUGAUACAAAGAGAUAACCAGUCUCGAGAUCAUUCUAGAAAAUAACUUCAUUGUGAUUAUUGCAAAAA
rnacentral:lncRNA from 1 species